rnacentral:rRNA from 1 species
AACGAACGCUGGCGGCAGGCUUAACACAUGCAAGUCGAGCGCCCCGCAAGGGGAGCGGCAGACGGGUGAGUAACGCGUGGGAAUCUACCUUUUGCUACGGAAUAACUCAGGGAAACUUGUGCUAAUACCGUAUGUGCCCUUCGGGGGAAAGAUUUAUCGGCAAGAGAUGAGCCCGCGUUGGAUUAGCUAGUUGGUGGGGUAAAGGCCUACCAAGGCGACGAUCCAUAGCUGGUCUGAGAGGAUGAUCAGCCACACUGGGACUGAGACACGGCCCAGACUCCUACGGGGGGCAGCAGUGGGGAAUAUUGGACAAUGGGCGCAAGCCUGAUCCAGCCAUGCCGCGUGAGUGAUGACGGUCUUAGGAUUGUAAAGCUCUUUCACCGGUGAAGAUAAUGACGGUAACCGGAGAAGAAGCCCCGGCUAACUUCGUGCCAGCCGCCGCCGUAAAAC